AAAAGAGAGGAACUUCAAGCUGCCAAAAUUGAUCGGCGUCUACAAUUUUUUUUUUUUUUACAUUUUCUUCAGCGUCUAUGAAGAGAAGAGGGUGAUGUGUUGUGUUUGGCAGCCUGGGGGCGCUGUAAACAUCCUUGACUGGAAGCUGGGUGUAGGGUUUGUGAAGGCUUUCAGUCGGAUGUUUGCAGCGCUCUGCUUCCCCUAUCUCUGCACAAUCAGACAUCACAUUUAUUCAUUUCUUCGAUGUUUAUUUUAUGAAUGUGGCCAUAGCAUCAUGUGCCUGACUCCAAAAACGACUGUGUGUGGUUAUGUGCCACACUACUGGCAGUAGAACAAUGACUGGCACGUUGAAAUAACUCACUACAGGGGUGUGACGAGACAGUUGGCUCACGAGACACGAGAAAGAGACGAGAUUUUCACCGAGUAUUUUUAAGAAAUCCUCAGUGACUAGAAAAAUAGUCAAUGCAGGUGCAUUUGAAAUGUUUUAACUAAUCUUGUAAUAAAUGUCAUUUCAGUUCUA